rnacentral:rRNA from 1 species
UACGAAGGGAGCUAGCGUUGUUCGGAAUCACUGGGCGUAAAGCGCACGUAGGCGGAUGUGUCAGUCAGGGGUGAAAUCCCGAGGCUCAACCUCGGAACUGCCUUUGAUACUGGCGAUCUCGAGUUCGGGAGAGGUGAGUGGAACUGCGAGUGUAGAGGUGAAAUUCGUAGAUAUUCGCAAGAACACCAGUGGCGAAGGCGGCUCACUGGCCCGAUACUGACGCUGAGGUGCGAAAGCGUGGGGAGCAAACAGG